ACGAAGGUCCCAAGCGUUAUCCGGAUUUAUUGGGUUUAAAGGGUGCGUAGGCGGGUUAUUAAGUCAGUGGUGAAAGCUCCCAGCUCAACUGGGAAACUGCCAUUGAUACUGAUAGUCUUGAGUAUGAUUGAAGUGGGCGGAAUGUGUCAUGUAGCGGUGAAAUGCUUAGAUAUGACACAGAACACCGAUUGCGAAGGCAGCUCACUAAGCCAUAACUGACGCUGAUGCACGAAAGCGUGGGGAGCAAACAGGA
rnacentral:rRNA from 1 species